rnacentral:rRNA from 1 species
UGGGGAAUCUUGCACAAUGGGGGAAACCCUGAUGCAGCGACGCCGCGUGAGCGAUGAAGGUUUUCGAAUCGUAAAGCUCUGUCCUAUGGGAAGAUAAUGACGGUACCAUAGGAGGAAGCCCCGGCUAACUACGUGCCAGCAGCCGCGGUAAUACGUAGGGGGCGAGCGUUGUCCGGAAUUACUGGGCGUAAAGGGUUCGCAGGCGGCAUGACAAGUCCGAUGUAAAAGGCGAAAGCUCAACUAUCGUAAGCAUCGGAAACUGUAAAGCUUGAGUGAAGGAGAGGCAAGAGGAAUUCCUAGUGUAGCGGUGGAAUGCGUAGAUAUUAGGAGGAAUACCGGUGGCGAAGGCGACGUGCUGGACUUCAACUGACGCUGAGGAACGAAAGCGUGGGUAGCAAACAGG